AGAGAUGGAGAGAUGUUUGAAUGUGGAAAGGGCAAAACAGAUCAGCCUGCCUGGGCAGGCAUUGGUUGGAUCGAAUGAAGAGUUGAAGUACAUCAUCAACUAUAAGUUCACCAUGCAAAGGAAAACGAGGCUUGCAGUAGUCAUUACAUCUUUUUACGUUUGGUGGAUUGUAUUUAACCUUAGAUUUAAAUUCUGUUUCGUUAACUGUAAGAACAAAAUGAAGUUUUUAAGUUAAGCUGUGGUUAUUCAACGUCAUUGUCACAUUCAGUAAUCUGGCUUACUUUCGUUUGAAGUAAGGUUCUUGUUUAAAUCAAAAUUAAUUGCCGGUCCUGAACUCUUCCAAUGACAAGAAAUGUAAUCGUUGACAACAUAUUUAUAAAACUUCUUGUAUUUUGAA